CUUUUUUCCCUUUGCUAUGAGACUGGCAAGGUUCCAGAUAACAACUGUUUGAGCAGCCAGGGUCCUGGAGGGAAGUCAACAAGAAACAGAGCCACAGAUAAGCCACAGAUAAGCUUAUGUAAUGGAGGUAAGGAAACAAUUUUUUAUACUUUGCUUUUUAAAUCUCUGAAAUGUGUGUUGUGUGCUACCACAGUAUAAUUUAGUCUACACUGAUACGUUAUCCCUCCCCACCCCCCACUAUUUUCUCAACACAGUAGCCAGAGUAAGCCUUUUAACAUUGUAAACUAGAUUAUGCAAUUUAUCUUAUUUGGACUUUGAAUGCUCCCCUAUUCCGCAAGAGUUAAACAGUCUUUCAAUGGCUGAGGAAACCCUGCCUAUGUGCCAUCUCACUCCCUCCUUAGCCCUCUCAACUCAAUUACUGAGUAUCAAGCACUUAGGCCUUCUUGUUCUUUCUUAAAUUAACUCCUCUCCUAGAUUUCACUUGCCUGCUUGUGAAGAGACCACCAAACAGGCUUUAUGUAAGCAACAAGGCUGUUUAUUUCACCUGGGUGCAGGCGGGCUGAGUCCGAAAAGAGUGUCAGUGAAGGGAGAUAGGGGUGGGGCUGUUUUAUAAGAUUUGGGUAGUGGAAAAUGACAGUCAAAGGGGGUUGUUCUCUGGCUGGCAGGGGUGGGGGUCACAAGGUGCUCAGUGGGGGAGCUUUUGAGCCAGGAUGAGCCAGGAGAAGGAAUUUCACAAGGUAAUGUCAUCAGUUAAGGCAGCGACCGGCCAUUUUCACUUGUUUUGUGGUGGAAUGUCCUCAGUUAAGGCAGAAACCGGCCAUUUUCACUUCUUUUGUGAUUCUUCACUUGCUUCGGGCCAUCUAGACAUCUGGAUGUAUACGUGCAGCUCUCAUUUUCUCUCCUGCCACCCUGUGAAGAGGUGCCUUCUGUCAUGAUUGUAAGUUUCUUGAGGCCUUCCCAGACAUGCUGAACUGUGAGUCAAUUAAACCUUUUUCCUUUAUAAAUUACCCAGUCUCUAGUAUAUCUUUAUUAGCAAUGUGAGAACAGACAAAUACAAUAUGGAUGAAAUAUGUUAUCCAGUCAGUUCCACCCCGGUAUUUCUGCAAUGGCACUUCUAGGCCCCAGGGAAACCAGUCAUAGAUGAUAUAAAAAUUCAGAAAAUUAAUAUUUUUGUUCAAGAGAAACUCAUAACUUAGCUUUGCAAGCCAUUCUUUAACAUAGAAUCAGGGACACUUCACAUUUAAACUGUUUUU
rnacentral:lncRNA from 1 species